UCGGGAGAGGACAGGACAGUAGAGUUGGCAGACACAAUCCUCUGUUCUUUCCUCUCCUGCCU
rnacentral:pre_miRNA from 1 species